rnacentral:rRNA from 1 species
UACGGAGGAUGCGAGCGUUAUCCGGAUUUAUUGGGUUUAAAGGGUGCGUAGGCGGGAUGCCAAGUCAGCGGUAAAAAUGCGGUGCUCAACGCCGUCGGGCCGUUGAAACUGGCGUUCUCGAGUGGGCGAGAAGUAUGCGGAAUGCGUGGUGUAGCGGUGAAAUGCAUAGAUAUCACGCAGAACUCCGAUUGCGAAGGCAGCAUACCGGCGCCCUACUGACGCUGAGGCACGAAAGCGUGGGUAUCGAACAGG